CUUCUACUCCAGCUGCGGCGGCUGUGUGCGGCAGCGCGCGUCCUAGCUUUGAGGCAAUCUGUGCUUGGUUCGAAGGCUAGCCAACCGGAGAUGGCUGAUGGCUUCAUGUGCACUGUGUUCUCGCGCGCCUACUUCGCUGAAGCGAGAGGCUGCACGAAGGGGAGACGUUCGCCGCUGCUGGCGCUUUUCAUCACGCUAGCGUUCUGACGGUGAGAGUACGCCAUCAUCGAUUGAGUCCCUUACUAUGGUGUACAAUGGCAUGACUGCACCUUUUGUCGGUUUAUGCCUAUUGGGCGUCCUAUUCCCGUUCGUUCGUGCAAAGGCCAAACGACUCGUUUAUCCUCUUCCGUGUGUCCUCUCUUUGGAGCAGCUUCUUUACUAUUUUCGGUACAGUUUUGCUGGGAGUAAUCGUGAGCGCUGUG